AUAUAAUGGCACAACUCAAGUCUUGUCUGUCUUGACGACAUCAACAAGACAACACAAUUUGAUGAUUCCCAGACCAGCUAGAGUUUUGGAAUGUAAAGUUAGAAGUUUUAGUUAUUACUAUUUACCAGCAUCCAAUUAAGAUGGUCCGCCAAUGCGAAAUGACAGAUCAAUUGCAACCUACAUUUAGAGUGCCGGCUGAGUUCAAAAAAGAAGAAAGAGAAAAGUAGGAUGCAUGCCGGCUUAAGAAUUGCUUCAUACCCUUUCUUCAUUUUGAUAUUAGGUAUCAAUUUGUGGAAGUCCUAGAUCCGUUUAGGCCACAGAAGAACCUUGCAAUAGGAGUCAGUUCUCCUUGUUGAGAUGUGGCUCAAAAUUAAUGCUAUGUUUUGUAGAGGUGCAUUAUUGUUUGAAUGGAAGAAAUUGGCUGCAAUAUGCACAAGGUAAAUGCAUGAGAAGUUGAUCAUUUAUUAUGCUAUGGAACUAGAUAUAGCUAGGGUGGUACAGCCAUAUUUGAAGUAAGAGAACAAGUCUCAUGUGAGAAUGCACAAUGCAUAGUGAAAGAGUGAGAACAUGUAUGUAGAGAAAACAAUAGUUGAGAUCUAUUGGUAAUAGUUUGAGACUAUUGGUGUAGAAACAUUGAACGGGAAAGAUGGAAAAGCAAGACUUUACUUUUCUUCCAUGCAUGGUUCUGCAUGUUGUAAGUGAAGGAGUUGGCUAUAUAUAGCCAUUUGACAUUGGCAUUGUGUAGUGUGGCAUCCGAGUUGUGUAGUCUCUUAUUUAGAGAGAAUUUCAUUUUUUGUCAAGUGUUGUAAAAGAGUUAGUUUUACUGGGUAUUGAGAGUGUGAGUUGAGAGGGGUGUACAAAGGUUCAAGGGUUCGGGUUUGGGUUAUAAACUUAAGUGAAACACCUUGUAUUUAGUUCUCAUUAUUCUCAAUAUAGUAAAGAAAGAUUGGAUCACGCCCCGUGGACGUAGCUCAAAGAGUGAGGGAACCACGUUAAAUCUUGUGUUGUUAUGUGUGUUUGUUUUUCCCUAUUAUAAUUGUAUUCUCGAUAUCGUAUCCUAUUGACCAAUCCGAUGCGUGAAACCCAACACUCCUCUUGUCCGCAAUCGCUUGAAGAAGAAGAAGUAAGACUACAACGCACAUCAAUGGCAACUUGCACCACAAGGUGCUACCACACCUGCAACAACUAGAAAGAGAUCGUCUGCCGAUCAGCGCGGACAUUUUGGCACACCCAGUGAGACUCGAAACAGUAGAGGUCGAGUGGAUAAAAUAUUUUAGUCUUUCGAGUCCCAACUAGCAUGUCAAAAUGUUCGCACCGAAAUCAGAAAACGAUCUGUUAUUUGCUCCGGAGAGACUUUGAUUGCAAAAAGAUGCUUUGUCAAGAGGAGGGUGCUUUCAAUAUUGGUUAGAAACCUCUUAUUUAUGAGAUAGGUUUUGCGGUUCCUUGAUACAGAAGGAUCACAGAUUCACUUUCAAAAUAGGAUUAUGAUUCCCUACCUGAAAGAGAAAAUGUUUUCCUUGCGCAACACAAUAGACCAAUUACCCAAAAAUAAAAUAAAAGAUAUUUGGGCUGCAGUUUCCGGUCUGUGAGCUGAAAAUUACUUGAAGACCACCGAAAAUGCUAAAUUGGACUCAAACACUGGUAGCAAUGGAGGAAGAUCAUAACUAAACUAUGGCGUGUAAUUUGAUUUGAGGUGGUGAGGGUGAGGGUGAGAGAGAAGGAACAUUGCUGGUGCUAUGGAUGAUCAUAAGCACCUUUGAAAUAUCCGAGUUCACAUAUAUUGGAUGCAUAACGAAGGGAAAGAGAGAGAAGACAAUCUAGACAUUGGUACCAAAACCAGAAAACCCUAUAUUCUGUGGGCAUUGGCUUGUAUUGAGUAUAUACCAAGUAAUGUUGAGACUGCUGUCCCCAAAUGGUUCUAAGACCCGCGUAUAUUAUCAUAUGAAACAAUAUUAAUAACGUGCCAUCUUAAUUGCAAUUGAAUCCCACAUCGAACAUACAGUAAACUAUAGUAUCGUUUAUAAAGUAAAACAUUAGACAUGAAUAUUACCGAGUCCAGUAACGUGGACUUGUUACUAAGUAAGGCGUUAAAGUGAUUUGCGAUGAAAGAAGUUUCUGGCCAUGUUCAAUGUGUGGAUGUUGGUUUGUUGACCUCGGGUGAGGUCACACUACUUAGCACAACACCCAAAUUUGCCAGUGAUUUCGGUCACUGCCCCGAGCACAGUUGUGUACGUACGUAGCUGUGUGAGGCACUUUCGAGGCCAAACCAAUAUUACGUACAACACACUUUCAAAGUGCUAGCUUGGCCUAGAAUUACUCAUCACACAAUCACUUUUUCUAAAUCCUACAAAUAAAUAAAGCUAGCACACAAGUUUAUUAGUUUGUUGCCAUCACACAAUCAGUGCACUGUCUGGAUAAGAGUUAGUAUGAUCACAAAAGCAGCUGCGACGACGGAGAUGGUUGUCCACGGUGUGUUGAAAUAAUCUUGUCUCAAAGUUGCCAUCCAUUUGUGCCGCCUCAUUCUGCAAUACUUGUUCAAAUCAUUACAAUGAGUGGCAUAAAUAAAGUCUGCUGUGUUGAAACGAACCCC
rnacentral:lncRNA from 1 species